ensembl:misc_RNA 7SK 7SK RNA
GGAUGUCAGAGCGAUCUGGCUGUGAUAUGUCAUCCCUUUCAUUGCCAGGGUUGAUUUAGUUAAUCUGGCUGGCUAGGCGGGGGUCCCCUUCCCCCGCUGAGCAUGCCAUGGCGACCCUCCUCAUACUGUGCAUUUGGUCAAAGAGGACAACCUUCCCUGCUAGAGGAAGGCCAUUUCCUCAGUCGAGGUGUACAAGUAGCUGCGCUGCCCUCCUAGAACCUCCACACAAGCUCUCCAGAAUAUGUGUCUGUGGGAUACACUGACUCAAUUCAAGAAUCCUCUGAACUUAUAACUCAGGCUAACAGGACUAAAUCUGCUUGUUUUU